rnacentral:rRNA from 1 species
GAUGAACGCUGGCGGCGUGCCUAAUACAUGCAAGUCGAGCGAACGGACGAGAAGCUUGCUUCUCUGAUGUUAGCGGCGGACGGGUGAGUAACACGUGGAUAACCUACCUAUAAGACUGGGAUAACUUCGGGAAACCGUAGCUAAUACCGGAUAAUAUUUUGAACCGCAUGGUUCAAAAGUGAAAGACGGUCUUGCUGUCACUUAUAGAUGGAUCCGCGCUGCAUUAGCUAGUUGGUAAGGUAACGGCUUACCAAGGCAACGAUGCAUAGCCGACCUGAGAGGGUGAUCGGCCACACUGGAACUGAGACACGGUCCAGACUCCUACGGGAGGCAGCAGUAGGGAAUCUUCCGCAAUGGGCGAAAGCCUGACGGAGCAACGCCGCGUGAAUGAUGAAGGUCUUCGGAUCGUAAAACUCUGUUAUUAGGGAAGAACAUAUGUGUAAGUAACUGUGCACAUCUUGACGGUACCUAAUCAGAAAGCCACGGCUAACUACGUG